UACAACAUAACAUUAAUGCAGCGGAUCCCAUUAGAACUCUACAAUUAAGCGUGCUCAUGCUAGAGUAUUACUGGGAUGGGUGAUUUCCUAGGACAUCCUAGUGUUUUAC
rnacentral:rRNA from 1 species